rnacentral:lncRNA from 1 species
GUUGGUCUUAACUCAAAUUUUCAGUGGAGGCCCCACACGUCUGCUAAAGAGAUACCUGAGACCAAACCUAAUUACUAGAAAUUAUUUGAUGAAACAAUUAGUUAAAAACCUACCUAUGAAUGCACUUGAGUUGGUCGAGCCACAUUCGGAUUCAAAUGCAGUCUAUUUGGAUUUUAGUACCCAUUAAGAGAUUAAUAUAAUUCUUCAAAU